rnacentral:tRNA from 1 species
GCCCUCGUGGCCUAACGGAUAAGGCGUCGGUCUCCUAAACCGGGAUUGGGGGUUUGAAUCCCGCCGAGGGUA